rnacentral:lncRNA from 1 species
CACCCAUAUAUUCCUUCAAAAAAAAAAAACACAACACCCAUAUAUAAGACUCGCAUCAACUUCCUCUCUUUUCUGUAACUAACUUCUUUUUUUUUGGUAGAUAGACGAAAUGUUAUAAACUCACACACAUAAGUGGAGGUAUCGGGGUUCGAACCCCGGUCAUGACAUCCGACUUAACAAUUUCGGCAUUUUGCCAGUUGAACUAGGACUUCUGGAUUGUAACUAACUUCUAAUACCAAACUACCGCCAUAAUCAUUGAAACCUCCAUCUGAACCACCAAAACCACAACCCAAGAAGUGUGCAAAGAAGAACAAAUUCAACCUCUUUGUUGGGAAAUCAACUGGGACAGAGAAAGAAAUAGAAAGGGGUCGUGAGAGAUAGGAGGAUAUAACUGAUCUGUUUUUGUCGGUGCCGUCUCUUUCGCCGCCAGUGUCAUCUUUAUAAGAGCGCCACCCCUUGCUACUAACCUGCAGAACCAUGUGAAUGUAUUGCAACCAUAUAAUUUUGAAAACGGAUGGCGUGCCACGUAGACAUUGACCGGUCAAAAUUUGCCAAAAGGACCAAAGAUGCAAAGGGACUAAAUCUUAGGUGGUCAAAAUUGCAACUUUUUGCAACUUAAGGGUGGAAAAGUGUACUUUAGCCUAGAAUAUUUUGGUACCGUUUGUUAAUGGAUUUUCUGAUUUCCCAAUUGAUUGUAUGUUGUUUCUUUGUUCUGAAACCUGUUUAUAUUUGAGUUGAAGUACCUCUUGUACUCUCAUUUUGUGUGU